CCCAAGAAUACUUCCUUAACCUCUUCCCCAAUCUUCCUGUCGAAGUACACAAGAUUGUUAGGUCAUGUGAUUGGAAAGAACGACCUAAACUUAAGGAAUUCUUCUGAUUGCAAACAUGAAAGACAAAUCCUAGCUAGUAUGUUAUUAUGACAUCAGGAUGUUUUCGCACUUUCGGUUUUUGGCUCAGUAUCGCAUACAAGGGCAAUUUAUAUAUACAUGUCAAACAUCAUAAAUAGAAAUGAUAGAUACUAUAUAGAUAAAUGUAUACUUGAUCAGGAAUCAUGUCUCCACUUUUUCUCAUGCGUGCCCUUAAAAAUCGAUCUGCCUUAUUGAAUUUGACUAUAGGAGUGAAACUCUAAAGUAUAGCAAGUUUUCAUCGUCCGAAAGUUUUGUCUUGCUCUCCAUAAUAUACAGUUUGAGCAAAGAUUUUAAAAUAUUAGUUUCGUUGAAGGAACAGUAACAAAUGUAGGUGCUAAAUUUAACGUGCUCUUGUACGUUCAAUAUUGAGUGCAAUGAUUUAAUUUUUUUCAUGUUAAUAACGAUCAGGGUAUUAGGUUUUGAAUGAUAGCCUACCUUUUUGUAUCAUUCCAAGCAAUAAUUACCAAAUACGAGACGAUUAAUACCAGUGGAAAUCACGUUCUUCUACCUUUGUGCUAAAUUAAAAGCAAUACACUCAUAACAAAAGAAAAAGCAAUUAAUCACUAAUGUGUCUUGUCAAGCGAUAAUCUUUAAGCAGAAGUGACCACAUUUAUCAACAAUUAUUCAACUUUAUUGCAUACUUCAGGGGCCGGUUGUAUAAAACUCUUAAUCACUUUUUUAAUCACUAUUUUGCAGUUAAAUAGUGAUUAACUCUCAAAUACGCGCUUCUUAUUGGAUGACGUUUCCACUUAAUCAUAGUUAACUUUAAUCACUUUUUUAUACAACCGGCCCCAGGGCUUUUUAAACUAAUUGUUUUAUCUCAGUUCCCUGCAACGGAUAAUGUUGAUAAAUAGGUCAUGAAAGUUCGAUUUGUAUUUGGUUGUUUUCCUUUUAAUGAUACAAAAAGUUAUCGUUGGGCAACGAAAGAACUGAAUUUUGUUGCUGUGUUAAAAUUUUAUCAAUACUUUCAAUAUCCAACGCACGCCCGAACAGGCUAAAGUUGGUUUAUCGCAUCCUAUUGUUUCUAUGGUUUAUGCUAUAAAUAGUUACAAAAAUAGUUUUGAGCGCAACCACGUCCCAGGCUGUCUAACGAGGAUAAUUUUGUAUCGUGGAGCAUGUUGUUUUAACACUGAUGAUUAAUUGUAGUCGAUUUAAAAUUUUAAUCGUAGGAGUAAAUUGUUAUAAACAAAUGAGAAACAAGCUGUAAGAUUUUAUCGUAUUAAGCAUGUUGUUUUAACAUAGGUAAUUAAUUGUAGUCGAUUUUAAUUAUAGAAGUAAAUUGUUAUAAGCAAAUGAGAACGAGGACGGAGGUUGGUUUUAAUUUAGCGAUACAAGUUGCAAGGUUUUAUCGUAAGCAUGUUCUUUUAACAUAAGUAAUUAAUUGUAGUCGAUUUAAAAUUUUAAUCAUAGAAAUUAAUUGUUGUAACCUGCAGUACCUGGUAAUUAACGCCACGUUUUUCAUGUAUAAUUAUAGAAACCCAAUGAUAAUAAGACCACGUCUACAUUAUAUCGGGUAGAUUUAUGGGCCGUUUCAAAAAGCUAUUCAAUGUAGUGUAAGUUUUGAACCGCUGCAAAUGAAAUUUUUGAAGAUGGAAAUUUCUCGAAGAUGGAAAUAUUUCUUCUCAAGUGUAGAACUAACCAGCUGCGGAAAAUGCAACUAUUGCCCUUCUGUCAGGAAUCGAGCCUGCGGCCCUGCGAUUCCGGUGC